CUAUCCUUAGGAGGCUUUGCUUGGAUGAUUAAGUAAAAGUCUUGCUUCAUGUUUGAUGCACUUCUCCUUAGCUCUUUCCCUCCUUCUUUCCACAACUUCUUUUCUAUCAUAAUCUCCUUGAUUCUUUUUAUAUUCUCUGCAUUUUUUCUUAAUCCUUCCUAUCAACCAUAUAUACAAAAUACACGAAGAAUUCAUAAUUUGUAACUCUUGCUACAAAGAGUCUUCCAGAAACAUAUUACGGAGGAUUAAAACCCCAAUAAUACAAAGUGAUUGAUAACUUACAAAUCUACUCUCUUUGUUUCACAAUAUAAGUUGUUUUAGCUAAAAGCACGCAGAUUAAGAAUAUUUACUUUUAAAAAGUUCAACCAAUCACAAAAGAGACUACAUAAUAUAAAUAAUCAUAAAAUAUUAAAGUAAUAUAUAAUUUGCAUAGAAACUUGAAAACAACUUAUAAUGAAACGGAGGGAGUAUGUAUCAGCCUUAGCAUUUAAUAUCCUCUAAAAUA
rnacentral:sRNA from 1 species